GAUAUAAAAUUCUAUCUCAGUUUCAAAUGGACAGCCAUUGUGUUUUGUUCGCUGGAGCGGCAAUUUUCCCUGGGAAAACCGUUUUUUCCUCCCGGUGCUGUGGCUGCGCGUGACUGGCGACCGCUUCGAGUCGGAUUUUCACUUUGUGGCUCUUCCGGUAGGCAGCAGCUUUGCUGAUUUGUUCGCACUUCGGACGGCAAAAACUAGGACUGUCAGCCAACAUUAAAUCUUUCCGCUUGUGGUGCUAUUCAUUCCUGCCUGUCAUAUAAUGCGGAACAAGGAACCGGAAACAAGAGCGAGAUGGAUCUUAUUGUGUGGCGAAUUGACGAAACGCGUGUUUUGUUUCUCGUAAAACCAAGACCUGGCAAGUGAAAAGAAUCGGAGAAAAUCCGCAUAGCAGAACCUUAACAGUAGCAUAUAGCAGGAAUCUUAUUAUACGGAGAAAGAACAUCUAAACUACUUGCAAU